CCAACCAAAAUAUUACAAAAAGCCCGCCAUAUCGACACUUCAGUUCAAGGUUGUCUAACAUUGCUUGAGAAAUUAAUCGUUUCAAAACCCCCUCAACAUGUGAGUAGAGGAAAGGAUAAAGUUGUUUCUGUGGGGUUUAUUUCUUAGUGAAUUACGCGAAGAUCAAGUAUGCCUUCUGGAGACUCUAGGAAGGACUUCGUCUUGACUACCGCUGCGAACUAUUUCGGUGUUCCUAUUUCUGAUAGUGCUUUUGCUGAAGUAUCUGAUUCCAGGGAAUUGAAUGCUUUUUUGGAUGAUGGUAAUAGCCCUAUUCUCGCAGCUAGAUUUGAUACACAUCAGGGGAACAAGACAGUUGAACUAUUUGAUCACGUUGAACCAAGCGAUUCCGCUGAAAAAGUGAUCGUCUUUUUCAAACUCCAACCCGAGGUCAUAACUCCGGAUAAUCUUCACCAAAAUGUUUUCGUUUCCUCGAUGCUGGACUCCCCGAUAAAUACGCUUUAUCAUUCAGUGCAGAAGAUUUUUGCUCCUUUGCUUUUAAAGGAUGAAAAAUGGAGUCGUAAUUUUGACCCGAAACUGCAAAGUUUGCUUAGUGAACUCGAAGCCGGUUUGGGAAGUGUAGUGAGGAAGCAAAAUACGUCUUUAGCUCGCGCCGUUCAACCAGGGGACGAAUCAAGCUUAGGGGGGAUUCUAACACCUCAAGAUGAGUUCCAAUACUGGGCAGACUCUUCUGUGUCGGGAUAUGAUUUAUCGGAGCGCGAGAGAGCUGGAUUUUUUCAGGAGUGUUUUCAGAAAGGAAAUGUUUCUCAGGACUUUUCCAACUUGGAUGGACUUGAUCUUGACGACACCUUAGAGCUAGUGGAAUCAACUCAAGAUUCUCUGGACGAAGUCUGGAAGCAAGAAGACCACAAGCCUUAUCCUGAGCAUCGCAUGUGCCAUCUUCUUAGUGUGAUUGGUGGAGCCCUUGCACGUUAUGUACAGCGCAAGCUUAGUGCUCUAGACAUCUGGCAAGGACCUUUCCAGAAUGUCAAAGAAGCCAUGCGGAAAGGAGUGUCUGUCUGUGAGAGGUGGGUGUCCACGUGUGAGACACUGACAGCUCAAUACUGGAAGCGCUUUCCUGCACACCCUUGGAAAGGAGAAAAAUUUGUUCCUGAGAAUCUUUCACAGCUUGCUGCAAGGCUAGAGGAGGUGUUGACUUUGAGAACAGUUCAUGAGCAGCUAGUCCGUCUUCUGUCAUCCUCUGAGCGACAACAGCUAAGAACAGCAGAAGCAUUUCAUCCCUUCUCAGGACUGAACCCUCUGCAUCAGAAUCCUUACACUGAGCCUCUCUGGCGUGCAGCUGUUGGUCAAUAUGAAAGGGGAAUGGCUCCUGCUGAGCAGAAAAUUGCAGGGAAAUUGAGGCAGCAAUUUCGAGACCUUUCUGCACAAUCCCAUCAGCUGUUGCGGGAGUUUCAGAGGUACAAAGAACUUGUAAAAAGGCCAAGCAUCAGCAAGGAACUUGCUCCAGAGAGAGAAACUCUGCUUGGUCAGCUGACGGUGUACGUGAAAAGCAUAAGGGAUGAUUUCCUUGCCAAGACACAGAGCUCGUACUCUGGUGAUAAGGAUGGUGGUCCCCCUAAAGGCAAGAACAUGCCAGAGAUUGUCAAUAAUAUUGUUUGGGUCAGGCAGCUUGACUCCAAGGUGAAGGAAGUGCUUGUCACUGCAGAGAGUCUGCUAGGUGACUUGGCUGGCUUCCGUGGAUUUCGAAGAGAGGCAUCAGACCUGGCAGAAGAACUGUCAAGCUACUGCACUGACCAGUUCGAAAGCUGGUCUUCAGAAAUGCUUUCUGCUAUUGAGGACCCCAAACAUCCACUUGGAUUACAGACAAGUGGUCGUCUGAUGGAGCUGGGGCACCAGGACGGUAAGCUGCGAGUGCACUAUGGAGACCGCCUGGUCACAUUAAUGAGGGAAGUCCGUCAUCUUGCUGCACUCGGGUUUGUUGUCCCUGCUAAGAUCCAGCACACUUCCCAGACAGCCAGCAAGUUCUACCGACAUGGAAUGGUGCUAAAACAGGUGGCGCAUUUCUACAACACGAUCGACCAGCAGAUGAUUCCAAGCCAGCAGUCCAUGAUGCUUGACUCCGCCCUGGCAUUUGAACGCCUUGUCAAGAACCCCAAGCAAGGCUCCAAUGAUGCUUCUGGUCACCGAACACAAGUCACGUGGGACAAGCCCUCCGAGCUUGAGGCCUACAUCAACAAGCUACAAGCAGCCGCUGAGAGAUUGACGUCAGAGAAUCGUAGGCUCAGGAAAUGUCACUACAACAUUUCGGAUAAGGUGGUGAACUUGAUGAGCAUCGACCUCCUCCGCCAACAGCCUCGAUGGAAAGAGGCCCUGGUUGAUCUGAGAGAGAUCAUGACCUCUCUGGUCCAGCACGGGUUUAAGGCGGAGAACAUGCGCACAUGGAAGAUGCACUGGGAUCGUCAGCUAUACAAGGCGCUGGAACACCAGUACCAACUAGGCCUUGAGGGGUUGAACGAGAAUCUACCUGAGAUUAAGGUGGAGCUCACCUUCAGGCAGCAGCGUCUGCAGUUUCGACCUCCGCUCGAGGAGAUCCGUGCCAAAUACUUCCGCGAGAUGCGAAAAUUCAUCUCCAUCCCUAACCACUUCCGAGGCGUGGGAGAAGACAACUCGUUCUACCAGCUGAUGGUGGAUCACAAUGCGCCUGGCUUCUCGACGGUUUACAGCAAAGCAGAGGAUCUGUUCCGUCGGCUUGUGGCCGUGCAGGAGAUGUUCAAGGACUGGGUGGUACUGGGGAGCAUCGACCUGGACGCACUGGUAGACAAGCAUUUACAUGAUGUCGCCGAUUGGGAGAGGAACUUCAGGGCCCUCAAGGCCAGGGGAAGGGACGCAGAGAAACUACCCUUGUCAGUCAAAGUUGAUUGCAUCACUGUGUCCACGGUUCCCGUCAAGUCCACCAUUGAUGAUCACAUCCAGCAGCUGUUUGAUGCAUUGAUGAGUUCUCUGCGCCGGUCCAUCACGCAGGAGGUACAGACUAUCGACACUUUCCUGACCUCGGGCAUGGAGGCCCUAUCCACACGACCACAGACGGUGGAGGAGAUAGGUGAAGCGAACCUCAAGCACACGGAGCUUACCUCACAAAAACCACAGAUCCAGCCUUUGUUCGAGAAAGCCGAGUCCAAGAACAAGCUGCUACGUAACGUGGCAGGGGGAGGGGUGGAGCAGAUCGGACAACUGCAGGCGAGAUGGGAUAAGUUCGAGUUGAUGCUGGAAAGCCAUGAACUUAUGGUCAAAGAGCAGGUCGAGGUCAUGAAGAGUAACGUGGAGUCACGCGUGCAGGCCUUCCAGCAGGAGCUGGACAAGUUUGCGGCACGCUGGCAUCAGCUCAAACCCAAGGACAUAGACGUCGACACGGACCGUCAAGCGUGUAUUGCCGCCGUCACGUCCGUCAAAGAGAGAAAGGCAGAGUUUGUAGAGCUGGAGGAAACCAUGAAGAAGCUCAUAUUUGAGUGUAGUCAUUUUGGAGUGACAGAGCCGCAUUUUCCCGUGGCUGAUGAUCUGCGGCAGGAUAUCUCUACCACUGAGGACAUGUGGCGACUGUUCGAGGAGUUCAACACGGGUCUAGAGGAGCUCGCCAAGGAAGACUGGAUAUCCUUCAGAUCUCGCACAUUCCUGUUUGAUGAUUUCCUGACUGGCUGGGGCGAGAAUCUGCGGACCAAGGAGCCCACUGUGAUGACUGUACGCCUGCAGAAAGAUGUCGAGAAGUACAAGAAUGUGGUUCCGCUGCUGAAAUACGUGCGAGGUGAAGCCCUGUCCCAGGACCACUGGCUGGAGCUGUUCAGGCUGCUCAAGAUGCCAAAGGGCACAACCCUUGAGAAGCUCACAUUUGGAUCGGUUCUGGAAUCAGCGGACCAGAUCGUCACACAUGCCGACGUUCUUAAGGAACUGAAUAGUCGUGCCCAGGGCGAAGUAUCCAUCCGUGAGGCGCUGCGCGAGCUCGAGCUGUGGGGGGCUGGGGCCGUGUUUUCUCUGACGUCAUACAGUGACUCGCAUGAGAAAGAGUUGUCAAUCAUCAAGGACUGGAAAGAGCUUGUCAAUCAAGUUGGCGAUAAUCAGUGCCUGUUGCAGUCACUUAAAGACUCCCCAUACUACAAGGGCUUCGAAGACAAGGCGUCUAUUUGGGAGGGCCGACUUGCCGACCUGGACGAAUACCUUCACAACCUCAACCAAAUCCAGCGCAAGUGGGUCUACCUUGAACCCAUCUUUGGCCGAGGCGCGUUGCCUAGGGAACAAGGACGCUUCAAGAGGGUCGAUGACGACUUCCGUUCUAUUAUGAUGGACGUCUCUAAGGAUAACCGCGUGCUGUCAUUGGUUGGCCGACCUGGUAUUAGGAACACGCUGGUCACAUUGCUCGACCAACUGCAGCGCUGUCAGAAAUCUCUCAAUGAAUUCCUAGAGGAAAAGCGGUCUCUUUUCCCUCGAUUUUACUUCAUCGGUGAUGACGACCUGUUAGAAAUUCUCGGCCAAGCGACGAACCCAACAGUGAUCCAGUCGCAUUUGAAAAAGCUGUUUGCAGGGAUUCACCAUGUGGGCUUUGACGAGGGGAACAAGACGAUAAUCGCCAUAAAGUCCAUCGAGGGUGAGGUCGUGCCUCUCAAACGACCUGUCAAUAUCACCCCGGAGGUCGAGGCAUGGCUGGGUCAUCUCGCCGUCGAGAUGAAGGACACUUUGAGGGAACUCCUUACUCAAUGUCUGGACAUAAGUAGAAAGGGAGGCGGAAGUGGCGUCGACCCAUCCAAAUUUCCCUCACAGAUUUUGAACCUGGCGGAGCAAGUCCAGUUCACGGAGCGAUGUGAGGUGGCCAUUAAAAGCGGGAGCCUCCAGGAGUUCCUGAUCGAGAUGGAAUCCCAGUUGGAGUCGUACACGAGUGCAGACGUGCAGGGGUCCGGGGAGCCUGGGGAUAGUCACGUGUUGGAACUCAAGCUCAAGGCGCUCAUCCUAGACACCAUUCACUCCAUCGAGGUGGUCCAGAACUUGAUCAAGGCGGGGGUCAAGUCUUUGGAUGAGUGGAUGUGGCAGAAGCAGUUACGAUUCUACAUGCACAAAGGCGAAUGCAUGAUUCGCAUGUGUGACGCCGAGUUCCAUUACACAUACGAGUAUCAAGGAAACGCACCUAAGCUGGUCCACACCCCCCUGACGGACAAGUGCUACCUGACGCUCACACAAGGAAUGCACAUGGGUCUGGGGGGGAACCCUUACGGACCUGCUGGUACCGGCAAGACCGAGUCUGUGAAAGCUCUUGGGGGAUUGUUUGGGCGCCAAGUGCUUGUCUUCAACUGUGACGAGGGCAUCGAUGUGAAAUCCAUGGGUCGCAUCUUUAUCGGACUGGUGAAGUGUGGGGCAUGGGGUUGUUUUGACGAGUUCAACCGUUUGGAAGAGGCCGUCCUGUCUGCGGUAUCUAUGCAAAUCCAAACCAUUCAAGCUGCUCUCAAAUCCAAGAUGGCAUCUACGGAGCUCCUGGGUAGACAAAUCGACAUCGACUUCAAUUCGGGAAUCUUCAUCACUCUCAAUCCUGCUGGAAAGGGCUACGGUGGCAGGCAGAAGCUUCCGGACAACUUGAAGCAGUUGUUCCGCCCGGUUGCCAUGUCCCGGCCGGACAAUGAGCUAAUCGCGGAGACGAUCAUGUUCUCCGAAGGAUUCAAAGAGGCUAAGAGUCUAGGGAGAAAGCUGGUCGCCAUCUUCAACUUAUCCAAGGAGCUGUUGUCAAAACAGCAACACUACGACUGGGGUCUGCGUGCACUCAAGACGAUACUGAAGGGAUGCGGUAAUUUGUUACAAUCACAUAAGCAAUCUGGUGAAAAGGUUAACCCAAGUAUCGAGGCGCGCGUUGUGGUGCAGGCUCUCCGUGUAAACACACUGUCGAAGCUGACGUUUGCAGACUCGCGCCGUUUUGAUGCGCUGGUACAGGAUGUAUUCCCUGGUGUGGACGUAAAGGGAGUCGAGUACAUGGAGCUAGCAGAAGCACUCAGAGCUGCUGCCAAGGAAUGUAAUCUUGUCGUUAUGGAAACGCAGGUUAAGAAGGCUUUAGAGUUGUACGAGCAGCUCCGACAGCGCAUGGGUGUGGUCGUUAUCGGCCCGUCUGGGUCCGGUAAGAGCACCAUCUGGCGACUCCUACGCCUGGCUCUUGGCAAGAUUGGCCAGACCGUCAAGCAGUACACCAUGAACCCAAAGGCUAUGCCAAGGACGCAGUUGCUUGGUCAGAUUGACAUGGACACUCGGGAAUGGUCCGACGGAGUUCUCACGAAUGCCGCACGACAGGUCGUCCGUGAACCAAUCGAUAUCCAGUCGUGGAUCAUCUGUGAUGGCGAUAUUGACCCUGAGUGGAUUGAGUCGCUUAAUUCGGUUCUUGACGACAACAGACUAUUGACCAUGCCCUCAGGGGAGAGGAUCCAGUUUGGCCCGAACGUCAACUUCCUGUUCGAGUCACAUGAUCUCAGCUGUGCCUCACCCGCUACGAUAUCCCGUAUGGGUAUGAUUUUCCUAAGCGACGAAGACACUGACGUCAAAGCGCUUGUCAAGUCCUGGCUCGCAAAUCGACCGGAAGACGAGAGGCGAUUGCUGGAGACUUGGCUGGAAGACUAUUUCUAUAAGGCACUGGAAUGGGUUUUAAAGCAGGGAGAUCUUGUGGUGGAGACAACACUGGUUGGCAUGGUGAUGAAUGGUCUGUCACACAUGUUUGAGGUGCGGGCCAAGCAACAGUUUGUGUGCAGCCUCAUCAGGGGCCUGGGAGCGAACUUGUCCGUCACCACACAGACAGCCUUCGCUAAAGAGGUAUUCCACUGGACCCAUGAGAUGCCUCCAGAUCCCAAACGACCGUUGGAUACAUUUUACGACUCUGACCGGGGACGCCUGGCAUCUUUUGAGCUCGAGGUCCCUGACUCCCUGAGCGUGGAUGAUCUGAUCUCUACCACGAACGGUCAGCCUGUUAUUAAGACGUCUGAUGUCAAGCGAGGGCUGGAUAUGUUCUCCCCUUGGCUUCACACCGAUUACCGCGAGCCAUUUUUGUUGGUGGGGCCUGAAGGCUGCGGCAAAGAAAUGCUGUUACGUCAUUGCUUUGAGCAGCUGCGCUCGACCCAGGUCGCUAUUGUCCACUGUAGCGCCCAGUCUUCGCCCGCGCAUGUGCUUCAGAAGCUUCAGCAGAUGUGCAUGGUGAUCAGCACAAACACGGGCCGCGUGUACCGGCCCAAGGACUGCGAGAGGCUCGUGCUGUACCUCAAGGACCUCAACCUGCCUAAACCGGACAAGUGGGGGACCAGUCAGCUUAUCGCAUUCCUACAACAGGUGCUGACGUACAAAGGUUUCUAUGACGAUAACCUUGAGUGGGUCGGGCUCGAGGGUGUUCAGGUGGUAGCGUCCAUGAGUGCGGGAACAGGCAUGGGUAGGCACUCUAUCACCACGCGCUUCACCUCUAUCGUGCGGGUCUGCUCCAUAGGAUAUCCCGAUCACAGCCAGCUUCAAGCCAUCUACAGCGCUUACCUCCAGCCAGUUCUGCACAAAACCUUACGCUCCCACCCCGUGUGGGGAUCAGUGAGGAACAUCCAGACAUUGGCUGGCUCCAUGGUGUUUGUGUACGAUCAAAUUCGCGCCAAAUUCACAGUAGACGACUACUCGCAUUACCUGUUCACACCACGUGACCUCACCAACUGGGUACUGAGCCUGCUGCGCUACGACUUGGACCCGGGCUCUAGUGACAGCUCGGCGAAUCUCUUGCUGGAGGUCUGGGCCUACGAGGCCAGGCGGCUUUUCCGAGAUAGACUCGUGGGCAAGCAAGGGCUUGACAGAUUCGAUAGCAUCUUGGCUUCCCAGCUACGAUCUGAUUGGUCUGUCUCUUUUGAUCGCUUGGAGACCACGUAUUUUGUCACGUGGGGGGCGCAUACCGCCAUGCCGGCUAAUCCUGCCCCAGGGGAGGAGGGGAAAGCGGAUGGGGGCGCUCCUGUGCUUUCAAGUGGAGCUCUUCCGCCUUAUGGUCGAAAGCUGGGCAAACUGGAGACAAGUGACUUCAAGCAGGUCAUCUCUAAAGGACUUAAAACAUACGCGCGCGAGAACCGUGAGCUUGACAUUCUGAUGUUCAAGGAAGUCCUGGACAACAUCGCUCGAGUCGACCGCACUCUUACGGUGCCCGGAGGCUCACUCCUGCUAGCUGGACGUAGUGGUGUGGGCCGUAGAACAGCCGUUACACUCGUCACGCACAUGCACAACAUCGAGCUUGUCACGCCAAAGGUGUCACGCGCAUAUGGGCUCAAGCAGUUCAAAAAUGACCUCAAAACGGUUAUGCAAAAAGCUGGUAUCGACGGCGAGCAAAUGGCGUUCGUGUUAGAAGACCACCAGCUCGUAGACGCCGCCAUCUUAGAGCUUAUCAACAGUCUGUUGAGCGCAGGAGAGAUCCCCGGCCUGUACUCGCCCGAGGAGCUAGAACCCCUUCUCUCCCCGCUGCGGGACCAGGCUUCCCAGGAGGGCUUUCGCGGCACCAUGUUUUCGUACUUUGCGUCGCGCGUGCGCACUAACCUUCACAUCGUGCUGAUUAUGGACUCCUCGUCGCCAAGUUUUAUUGUGAACUGCGAGUCCAACCCGGCGUUUUUCAAGACGUGCGCUGUGCAGUGGAUGGAGCAGUGGAGCAAGGAGAGCAUGAUACAAAUCCCACGCAUGCUGAUGCCCGAUGAGGGCGUGACCGCUGACCAGGCCAAGGGGAAAAAGUCUAGCGGAGAUGAGCUGGUGAAGAGCUUCAUUGCAAUCCACGAGGGAUGUGAUCCCAAGGAUGCCGCUCCACGCCGCUACAUGACCUUCCUGCAGAACUACAAAGCCAUCUACACGGAGAAGAAGGAGGGUCUUGUCAAACGCCAGACCCAUCUACAGGCUGGUAUCUCCAAGCUGACCGAUGCAAAGAACCUCGUGGACAACUUGAAGCAGAAGGCUGGAGAGCAAAGUCGAAAGCUUGCGGAGAAACAAGAGGAGGCGGACACUGCAUUACAGGAGAUUACCACUAGCAUGCAGCGUGCAAGCGAGUCUAAGAGCGAGAUGGAAACGCUGAAACAGAAACAAGGCGAGGAGUCCGUCAAACUUGAGAAGCGAAAGAAGGCUAUAGAGAUCGAGCUGUCGGAGAUCGAGCCCCUGGUCCAGGAGGCAAAGGACGCUGUCGGUAACAUCAAGCCCGAGUCUCUUUCCGAGAUACGCUCACUACGCAUGCCCCCUGAGGUCAUCCGGGAUAUCCUGGAGGCAGUGCUGAGGCUCAUGGGAAUUUUCGAUACGUCAUGGGUUAGCAUGAAAAGUUUCCUGGCCAAGCGUGGUGUAAAGGACGAGAUUUGUUCGUUUGACGCGCGUAAGAUCACGCCAGAUAUCAGAGCCAGCGUGGAGGAGCUGCUCACCAAGAACGCAAACUCUUUCGACCCUAAGCUUGCAAAGCGUGCGAGUGUAGCGGCCGCCCCUCUGGCCGCGUGGGUGAGGGCAAACGUCAAGUUCUCAGUCGUCCUGGAAAAAAUCGAGCCGCUCGAGAACGAACAGGCACAGCUACAAAGAAACCUGGACAAAUCUCAGCAGCGCCUGGAAAAGCUUGGUCGCGCCUUGGACAAGGUGGAUCACGAGGUUGCAGAGAUGCGAAACAGGUUCGAGCUGCGCACAAAGGAAGCCACGCAGCUCAAAAUGGAGCUGGACAAAGCUCAAGAAACGAUCGCUGCCGCCGAGACCCUAGUUAGUAAACUAGACGGCGAAUUCAACCGAUGGACUGGCCAGGUGCAUGAGAUGACCGCGGCAUUGGAGCAACUCCCUCGUCGUGCGCAACUCGCUGCAGGGUUCGUCACGUACCUGAGUAGUGCUCCCGAGGAUGUGCGCCGUGACACGAUGAAGAGAUGGUGUGACAGUAUGGCACUCGAGGGCUUUGAGUUGAGGCGCUUCCUGAGCACUGAGAGCGAGCAGCUCGUGUGGAAAUCCGAGGGCUUGCCCAGUGAUGACCUAUCCAUGGAGAACGCUCUUGUCAUUAUGAAGAGUGCAGUCCGACCGUUCCUGGUGGACCCAUCGUCACGUGCGACCGAGUGGCUCAAGACGAACCUCAAGGAUCAGCGUCUUGAGGUUAUCAACCAACAGGACUCUAACUUCUCCACUGGUCUUGAGCUGGCAGUGCGGUUUGGCAAGACUCUGCUUAUUCAGGAAAUGGAUGGGAUAGAUCCAGUGUUGUACCCAAUCCUCCGCGGUGACCUCAUCAGUCAAGGACCUCGCUUUGUGGUGCAGAUUGGAGAAAAAGUGAUUGACUACAACGAGGAUUUCAAACUAUUUAUGGCCACGAGGAAUCCAAACCCAGAUCUUCCACCAGAUGCAUUCGCCAUAAUAUCCGAAGUGAACUUCACUACAACUCGUGCUGGUCUUACGGGCCAGCUUUUAGGCAUCACGAUCCAGCAUGAAAAGCCUCAGCUUGAGGUCAAGAAGACGGAGCUGCUGCGGAAAGAGGAAGAGCUAAAAGUCCAGCUCGCGGAGAUGGAAGACUCUUUGCUAGAGACUCUGGCUAGCGCCGAAGGUAACAUCCUCGAGAACAAAGAUCUGCUUGACUCGCUAAACAAGACCAAGGCGAGUAGCUUGACUAUCGCCGAGUCCCUUCAGGACGCUCAUCGUGUACAGACAACACUAGACCAGGAAAGAGACGCGUACCUACCACUCGCGCAGAGCGGAAGUACCAUGUUCUUCGUGAUAAGCGAUCUCGCUAAACUCAACAACAUGUACCGCUUUAGUCUGAGCUCCUUCCUCCGGCUCUUCCAGCGGUCCCUCGAGACCAAUCAGGACUCCAGUUCGACGGAGCUUCGUAUAAAAGCCCUUAAAAACUCAUUGCAGCUACUCGUCCACGAGUACGUGUGCCGGUCACUCUUCAAGGCGGACCGACUGAUGUUCGCGCUUCACCUGGUUCAUGGAACUCACCCGGAGCUUUUCCAAGAAAAGGAAUGGGAGUUCUUCUGCGGCCUUGUCGUCACAGAUAUGUUCAAGAGACAGGAGUCCAUGAAGAACCUGCGUGAGAGUCUACCCUCUUGGAUGGAGUCCGACCGCGCUGGACCCGCAGGGUCGCUCAAGAACACCUUCACUACACUAUAUAAGACCCUGGAUCUUGAGAGCUCAGACACCUGGGGAUCCUUCGCGCGCAGCUCGCAGUGUGAACAGGAAUUCCCAUCACAGAUCACCAAGAAGAUUAGUCUUUUCCAACAAGUCCUGGUGGUGCAAGCGUUCCGCCCUGAUCGGCUACAGAGUGCCAUGAACAUGUUUGCAUCUAAAGCACUGGGAAUGAAAGAGCUUUCUCCGCCGACACUAAACCUGAAGCGCCUGGUAAAAGAGACUGUCCCUGGAGAACCCAUACUGAUCGUCAUAUCUCCUGGAGCAGAUCCUUCACAGGAGUUACAAGAGCUUGCUGGAGAGAUUGUGGGCAUCGACCGUUAUCACCAGGUCGCCAUGGGUCAAGGUCAGGCGGAUAUUGCCAUGCAGCAAUUGCACAAUUGUGCACGUAACGGCGAGUGGCUCUGCCUCAAGAAUCUCCACCUCGUCACUUCGUGGCUCCCCACCCUGGAGAAGGAACUGAACUCGCUAGAGCCCCACGAGAAGUUCCGCUUGUGGCUGACGGCAGAGAGUCAUCCCAAGUUCCCCACCAUUCUUCUUCAGUCCAGUCUCAAGGUCACCUACGAGGCCCCCCCUGGCAUCAAGAAGAACAUGCUGCGCACGUAUGACUCGUGGAGUCCAGAAUUCGUGCAGCGCGGGAACAACUCUACUCGGGCCCAGGCCCUGUUUGUGCUCUCCUGGUUCCACGCCAUCAUGCAGGAGAGAAGAAAUUACAUACCACAGGGAUGGACGAAGUUCUACGAAUUUUCGUUUGGGGAUCUGCGUGCAGGAGCAGAGAUCAUUGACCGACUGUGCUCUGAUUCAGGUUCUGGCUCGGUCCGGUGGCAGUUCGUGCAUGGUCUGUUCGCCAAUGCGAUCUACGGUGGUCGUAUCGACAACACGUUUGACAUGAAGGUCCUAGAGUCCUACUUAUUGCAGUACUUUGAGCAGGCUGUCUUCGCUCAGGGUGGUCGAUCCAGAAACAAGAGAGUCAUACCAAAUGUGACUCUACCGACCUCGUGCCACCACAGGGACUAUUUGGAAAUCAUUAACUCUCUGCCAGAUGUCGACAAACCGUCUUUUUUUGGCCUUCCCGCUAACAUCGAGCGCUCAUCUCAGAGGAUCAUCAGUUCACAGGUGAUUAGCCAGUUGAAGGUAUUGAUGCGUUCAGACGUGGUUGCACACAAGUUUGACAAGGAGAAAUGGUCCACUGAGCUCUCGCCCAUACUCAACUUGUGGAAGAAGCUCAAUCAGGGCUCCCAGCUCAUUCAGAUGAAGGUAUCGCCACCUUCAGAGACUGGGUCGGACUCUCCCGUCACGUCAUUCGUGCUGUUGGAGCGUUACAGUGCGGUCACGCUAGUACAGACAGUGCACGCGUCACUCGCCGCCCUCAGCAAGGUCAUCCGGGGAACACAGCUACUGAGUGCUGAGGUCCAGACUCUGGCGGCCUCUUUACUUCGACAGGAGGUUCCCCAGGAGUGGACGUCUAUCUGGGAGGGGCCUAUGGACCCCGUCCACUGGCUGAGGGCGCUCGUGUCCAAGACGCUUGCCCUUGGCUCGUGGGUGGAGAGGUCAGAGGCCCGCACUCUGCUAAAGGACACGCUGGAUCUGUCCGAGCUCUUUCACCCGGGAACCUUCCUCAACGCCCUUCGUCAACAGACCGCAAGGGCGCUAAAGACGGCAAUGGAUAAUCUGAAACCUGCCGUAGCAUGGAAAGGCGGAGUCCCGGGCGCUAAAUACCCUGUCAAGCUUGGUGGACUGCAAAUAGAGGGCUGCACGUUUGACGGUAAUGCGCUCACUGAGAACCAGAAUGACUCUCCUAGCGUGUCUGCCGUGCCCACUGCUACAAUGGCAUGGGUGCCUAAGGACUCGCCAGAUCCCUAUCCCGAGAGUGAGUGCAUCUCUGUACCCAUCUACUACAACUCGGACCGUGAUAGCAUAGUCACGUGCUUCAACAUGCCGUGUGGCGGGAACCAAAACUACUGGCUGCAGUGUGGUGCAGCACUUUUUCUUAAGAGCCAGUGAACACAAAGGGCACAGGUGUACAGGUUACACAUCAAGGACAAGAGUACACCAAAUAUAUGUUGUGGUUGGAAAUUCAUUUUGGUUGGAAUUUUUACCAACCAGUUGGAAAUUUUUCAACUAGUUAGAAAUUUUACAACCAGUUGGAAAUUCUCCAACCAGUGCAAAAUCUGGAAGACCUCAAAUGUACCAGGCAUUCUUUUUUGAUAAGUACGUUGGGGUUAGGGUUAGGGAAUGGUUGGGUAAGACUUUGUUAAAAUAAACUUCAAGUAUCUUUUGGUUAGGGUUAGGGUAUGGUUGGGUAAGACUUUGUUAAAAUAAACUUUACGUAACAAAACUGUGUAGAAGAUAUUUUUAUUUAAUUAAUUGAUUUGGGCGCAUUUCAAUGCGUCAUUGAUGUUGGCCUUGCAAGCAACCUCCUUCCUGUCACUUGACCAUACCUUCCCGUUGGCAUAGGACCAUUUCUUCCGUUUUAUAGUAUUUUCGUCGGCAGACGACAUAACUAUUGGAUCAUCACUGAUGCGCUACUUUUUUUGCUUUAAAAAUUGUUUUGCUUUUUCAUACAAACCAUCUUCAAUGUAAAAAUUGAUUUCUGAUUUUUUACUUUUGGUUUGGAGCUUCAAUUCCGUAAUCUUUUCUAGGAAUAAAGAGCGGUCAACACACGGCACAACUUCCUCCGCCAUGAUGAUGUUUCGUUCAAACAUCAUCAUAUUUUCCGAGUAAUGACCUUUAGCACAAUCGAAAUGUCUAAUUAAUUAAAAACAUUUUCUAUAGGUUCUUGUUCCAGCGGUACAUUUCAUAAACAUCGGCUUCUUCAGAAGAGAGAAUGUUACACAAAAUCGAGUAAUUACGAUGCCACGAAGAGGACAAAAAAUAAUUAUUCAAGAGAAAUAAAAGAACACUAUUAUUGCUCUAAUUAUUGUGCAGUCUUACAUGUCAGUCAUUCAAUACCCGCUUUCGCACCUAUCUUGAGUUACGUUCGACAAAAGUGCGUAAUUUUAGACUCCUCCGAAGCCGCCAGGUCCGAGUCACGCAGAGCUUUUACGUACGCAAUUUUAGAAUACGAAACAUCUAUUUAAGCCCUAUACAGGUUCUGGCAUGUUUUCAAACGUUGUAAAUUCAUUGUAAUGGCAGCACAGUUAGUCUUUUGUGGUAUUUUUUGCUUUUUAUCCACAAAAGUUUGCACUACGCUCGUGAAAAGAUUUGGUCUCUGUUUCACGUUAAUACGCAUGCGUGCAUUUAUAACAAGCGUGACGUAAGGCGCGUCAUGAAUAUUACAAUAAAGCAAGAUUUAAUCGCUCAUCUUUCGUCACAAGCCUUAGUGGUCAAGUGGUAAGGGCUACUGACUUCGGAGCGAAAGGUUGAGGGUUCGAAUCACGGUAAGGGAAGUUUACAUGGAACACAUCAAGAGCAAGGUUACAUGGAACACAUCAAGGGUACGUGUGACACCUCAUGAGCAAGGUUACAUGGAACACAUCAAGGGUACGUGUCACACAUCAAGAGCAAGGUUACAUGGAACACAUCAAGAGCAAGUGAACAAGAAAUUUCUAGAGUUAGUAAACACUGACCGCCUCAAGGGCCAAGCACUCUUCACAAGCCAUUAAACACAAAACAUUUAAAGAGGCAAACACUUACUCAAGAACCAGUUAACACGGACACCUAAAACCCAGGCACGUUUCUCAAAAGCCAAAGAACAUGCACACAGUCCAAUAAUUUCUCAACAUGUACACUUCUUAUCAGGCAUCAAUCAGCCCAUUGAGCAUUGUAAACUUCUACUAGAGAUUAAAUGCUUUUGUUGUCUCUGGA